rnacentral:pre_miRNA from 1 species
GUUGAGGGAAAUGGUGUCUGGUCCGAGACCAUUCGUUAUAAGUUACAUAACAUCCUUGCGAAUGAUCUCGGACCAGGCUUCAUUCCCCCUAAC